UCAGUUUGGUUUGCUUGCAAACCAAAGCUGGCGACCGGCGCACGGGUGAGUAACACGUAUCCAACCUGCCUCAUACUCGGGGAUAGCCUUUCGAAAGAAAGAUUAAUAUCCGAUAGCAUAUAUUUCCCGCAUGGGUUUUAUAUUAAAGAAAUUCGGUAUGAGAUGGGGAUGCGUUCCAUUAGUUUGUUGGCGGGGUAACGGCCCACCAAGACUACGAUGGAUAGGGGUUCUGAGAGGAAGGUCCCCCACAUUGGAACUGAGACACGGUCCAAACUCCUACGGGAGGCAGCA
rnacentral:ncRNA from 1 species